UACGUAGGGUGCGAGCGUUGUCCGGAAUUAUUGGGCGUAAAGAGCUCGUAGGCGGUUUGUCACGUCUGCUGUGAAAUCCCGAGGCUCAACCUCGGGCCUGCAGUGGGUACGGGCAGACUGGAGUGCGGUAGGGGAGAAUGGAAUUCCUGGUGUAGCGGUGGAAUGCGCAGAUAUCAGGAGGAACACCGAUGGCGAAGGCAGUUCUCUGGGCCGAUACUGACGCUGAGGAGCGAAAGCGUGGGGAGCGAACAGG
rnacentral:rRNA from 1 species